GACAGAGGGAGGGAGGGAGUGGGUGACUAGUGACAGAGGGAGGGAGUGACAGAGUGAGGGAGGUGGUGACUGUCACUAGUCACCACCUCCCUCACUCUGUCCCUAGUCACCCCCUUCCUCACUGUCACUAGUCACCCCUUCCCUCCCUAACUCU
rnacentral:miRNA from 1 species